rnacentral:rRNA from 1 species
UACGUAGGUGGCAAGCUUUGUCCGGAUUUAUUGGGUUUAAAGGGUGCGUAGGCGGCUUUUUAAGUCAGUGGUGAAAGCCGAUCGCUUAACGAUCGAACUGCCAUUGAUACUGAGAGGCUUGAGUAUAGUUGAGGUAGGCGGAAUUGACAGUGUAGCGGUGAAAUGCAUAGAUAUUGUGAAGAACAACAAUUGCGAAGGCAGCUUACUAAAGUAUAACUGACGCUGAGGCACGAGAGUGCGGGGAUCAAUCAGG